ACGAGCGGCGAACGGGUGAGUAACACGUGGGUGAUCUGCCUCGCACUCUGGGAUAAGCCUAGGAAACUGGGUCUAAUACCGGAUAUGACCACUUGAUGCAUGUCUUGUGGUGGAAAGAUUUAUCGGUGCGAGAUGGGCCCGCGGCCUAUCAGCUUGUUGGUGAGGUAACGGCCCACCAAGGCGACGACGGGUAGCCGACCUGAGAGGGUGACCGGCCACACUGGGACUGAGACACGGCCCAGACUCCUACGGGAGGCAGCAGUGGGGAAUAUUGCACAAUGGGCGAAAGCCUGAUGCAGCGACGCCGCGUGAGGGAUGACGGCCUUCGGGUUGUAAACCUCUUUUGACAGGGACGAAGCGCAAGUGACGGUACCUGUAGAAGAAGCACCGGCCAACUACGUGCCAGCAGCCGCGGUAAUACGUAGGGUGCGAGCGUUGUCCGGAAUUACUGGGCGUAAAGAGCUUGUAGGCGGUCUGUCACGUCUUCUGUGAAAACUUGGGGCUCAACCUUAAGCUUGCAGGGGAUACGGGCAGACUAGAGUACUUCAGGGGAGACUGGAAUUCCUGGUGUAGCGGUGAAAUGCGCAGAUAUCAGGAGGAACACCGGUGGCGAAGGCGGGUCUCUGGGAAGUAACUGACGCUGAGAAGCGAAAGCAUGGGUAGCAAACAGGAUUAGAUACCCUGGUAGUCCAUGCCGUAAACGGUGGGUACUAGGUGUGGGUUUCCUUCCACG
rnacentral:rRNA from 1 species